rnacentral:rRNA from 1 species
GGCUCAGAACGAACGCUGGCGGCGUGCCUAACACAUGCAAGUCGAGCGAGAAAGCCCGCAAGGGUGAGUAAAGCGGCGCACGGGUGCGUAACACGUGGGUAAUCUGCCCUGAAGUCCGGAAUAACUCGCCGAAAGGCGUGCUAAUGCCGGAUAAGACCACGGGAGCCUCGGCUCCUGCGGAAAAAGGUGGCCUCUGUACACAAGCUAUCACUUCAGGAUGAGCCCGCGGCCCAUCAGCUCGUUGGCGGGGUAAUGGCCCACCAAGGCUACGACGGGUAGCUGGUCUGAGAGGACGAUCAGCCACACUGGAACUGAGACACGGUCCAGACUCCUACGGGAGGCAGCAGUGGGAAUCUUGCGCAAUGGGCGAAAGCCUGACGCAGCAACGCCGCGUGUGUGAUGAAGGUCUUCGGAUCGUAAAGCACUGUCGCGAGGGACGAAUAAGGGUUGGGUGAACAAUCCAGUCCGAUGACGGUACCUCGAGAGGAAGCACCGGCUAACUCUGUGCCAGCAGCCGCGGUAAUACAGAGGGUGCAAGCGUUGUUCGGAAUUAUUGGGCGUAAAGCGCGUGUAGGCGGCUUUGUAAGUCAGGUGUGAAAGCCCUCGGCUUAACCGAGGAAGUGCGCCUGAAACUGCAGAGCUUGAGUGCCGGAGAGGGCGGUGGAAUUCCCGGUGUAGAGGUGAAAUUCGUAGAUAUCGGGAGGAACACCAGCGGCGAAGGCGACCGCCUGGACGGUAACUGACGCUGAGACGCGAAAGCGUGGGGAGCAAACAGGAUUAGAUACCCUGGUAGUCCACGCUGUAAACGAUGAGCGCUAGGUGUUGUGGGUGUUGACCCCUGCAGUGCCGCAGCUAACGCAUUAAGCGCUCCGCCU